rnacentral:rRNA from 1 species
UACGUAGGGAGCGAGCGUUAUCCGGAAUUAUUGGGCGUAAAGGGUGCGUAGAUGGUUGAUAUAAGUCUUUUGUAAAAAUGCUAGGCUCAACCUAGUAGGGCAAAAGAUACUGAUGAGCUAGAGUACGGCAGAGGCAAGUGGAACUACAUGUGUAGCGGUAAAAUGCGUAAAUAUAUGUAAGAACACCGGUGGCGAAGGCGGCUUGCUGGGCCUGUACUGACAUUGAGGCACGAAAGCGUGGGGAGCAA